GCGUAGAUAGUUGAAUGGUACAAUUUCUGCCUUCCAAGCAGAAGGUCGGGGUUCGAUUCCCCGUCUACGCA
rfam:Lichtheimia corymbifera JMRC:FST:9682, FST 9682, WGS project CBTN01000000 data, contig: SCAF00004